rnacentral:tRNA from 1 species
GGACUAUGGGGCUGCUUGGAGUGGCUACCUGCCUGUCACGCAGGUUAUCAGAUGGGUUCAAAUCCCAUAUAGUCCGC